CCUAGAAAAAAUUUCUCAAGAGCUUACCUAUGUUUUAUAGGGUUUACAUGGUGUUGCAUGCUUAAUCUAGUUUCUCAUGCUCCAUGUUGGGUAACAUUAUUUGUAUCA